rnacentral:rRNA from 1 species
UACGGGGGGGGCAAGCGUUGUUCGGAAUUACUGGGCGUAAAGCGCGCGUAGGCGGCUUUGUAAGUCAGGAGUGAAAUCCCGGGGCUCAACCUCGGAACUGCCUUUGAUACUGCAAAUCUCGAGUCCGGAAGAGGUGAGUGGAAUUCCUAGUGUAGAGGUGAAAUUCGUAGAUAUUAGGAAGAACACCAGUGGCGAAGGCGGCUCACUGGGCCGGUACUGACGCUGAGGUGCGAAAGCCAGGGGAGCAAACGGG